rnacentral:tRNA from 1 species
GUUUAAGUAGCAAAGAAGUUAAUGCCGUAGGUUUAGGUCCUAUUAACAAAGGUGCAAAUCCUUUCUUAAGCU